UUUAAAGUCUGACCUGCCCAAUGGUAUUUAAAUGGCUGCGGUAAUUUGACCGUGCAAAGGUAGCAUAAUCAUUAGUUUUUUAAUUGAAAGCUGGUAUGAAUGGUUGGACGAGAGAAAGACUGUCUCAAGCUAAAUUUAUUAGAAUUUUAUUUUUAAGUUAAAAAGCUUAGAUAUUAUUAAAAGACGAGAAGACCCUAUAGAGUUUUAUAUUUAUUUAUAUAAUUUGAAUUAUUUAUUUUUAUUAUAUAAAUAAGUAUUUUAUUGGGGCGAUAUUAAAAUUAAAUUAACUUUAUAUGUGUGUAUAACAUUAAUAUAUGAUUUUUUGAUCCAUUAUUUAUGAUUAGAAGAUUAAAUUACCUUAGGGAUAACAGCGUAAUUUUUUUUGAGAGUUCAUAUUGAAAAAAAAGGUUGCGACCUCGAUGUUGGAUUAAAAUUAACUUUUGGUGCAGGAGCUAAAAAGUUAGGUCUGUUCGACCUUUAAAAUUUUACAUGAUCUGAGUUUAAACCGGCGUAAGCCAGGUUGGUUUCUAUCUUUAAUAUAAAAGUAUAUUUUAGUACGAAAGGAUUUUAUAUAUAUAAAAUUUAUUUUAAAUUGAAUAGGAUGA
rnacentral:rRNA from 1 species